GGAGGAAGUUUUUGCCGCGCGUCGUCUGGCUGUGUCAGUACAGCGCACGGUGGUAUAAAGCGCGUCUGAUAGUGGUGGCUAGGCGAGGCUCUGGGCGGGGCGGCUAGGAGCAGCGGAGAAGGGUUCGGAUCCCGGGGCCGCCUCCGGGAGAAGAAGUUGGAGGGAGCAGGACGGGCGUCGGGGCGCAGGGCCGUCUAGCAGGCUGCCGAAUGCGAAGCGAGGGCUCCCCGUUGGCCGGCCGCCCUCUCGCCGGGCUGGGCGUUUGCAAUGCCUUUGGCCGAGCGGAGUGCGGAUUCUUGCCGCUUUUUGGACGGAACGGUCUCUAACCCCGACCCCUCUCGGCGUGGGAAGACCCGUGGGCGAAGGGGAGUGCCGACGCAGGCCUCCAAAGGCUCGGAGGCAGCUGAGAAGAUUUUGUAAAGGCGCCCGGAAAGACUGCAGCGCUGUGAGACCAAGCUUACUUCGCCACGACUGGGACACUAAUCCUGGUCGAAGAUCCAGAGUGUGAAAAUAAACAGUCGUCACCAAAAGCCAUUCUCCUGAGCCCCUUAUGCCAGAAAAAGCGCAUCACCCUUGUGUGCCUGGCCCAGGGCUUCCCCUACCAGUGGCCACUGAAUGUGACCUGGAAGCGGGACGGCCAAGAGAUUCGCCACCAAUUCUCCUUUGCCACUGAGCCAGUCCAGGAAGAAGGGAAGUGCAACUUUGCCACUGCCAGUCGCCUGAGUGUGCUGGCAGAGGAGUGGCAGGACGGCCACAACUACUCCUGCCAUGUCCGCCAAAUAGGGUUGGAUGAAAAAUAUGACUGGGUGAUAAGCAAGCCAGGCCAGAAGACAGCAGCUUCAGGCAUCUCUGAGGUGCAGCUCAGCCUUUCUGCAGGGCACUUUAUAUUCCUCCUACUGGUGGCCAAAAGUUUGGCCUACAGUGUCGUUCUGAGCAUCUACAGAGUCUACAGAAAAAGAGGUCUCUAAUUGCAUUACCCGCUACAGCAGUAGUCACUCCCCUACCAGCCAAGGCACAGAUUUACUUAUAGCUGCAGGCCUUUCCAGUGAAGAUCUAUUCCAUUCUGAGGUUUCCACAUCCUUCUUCUCAGCCUCUUCCUUCCAGAGGGAUUCAUCGGUCACUUUAUAUUAAAUUGUUCAAUGCCUUGAGCAAAUUUCAAUACUCAUUUUCUGUCUCAUAAUAAAGAUGUUCGU